CCUACGGGUCGCAGCAGUGGGGAAUAUUGGGCAAUGGGCGCACGCCUGACCCAGCAACGCCGCGUGAAGGAAGAAGGCUUUCGGGUUGUAAACUUCUUUUCUCAGGGACGAAGAAAGUGACGGUACCUGAGGAAUAAGCCACGGCUAACUACGUGCCAGCAGCCGCGGUAAUACGUAGGUGGCAAGCGUUAUCCGGAUUGACUGGGUGUAAAGGGCGUGUAGGCGGGACUGCAAGUCAGAUGUGAAAACCACGGGCUCAACCUGUGACCUGCAUGUGAAACUGUAGUGAUUGAGUACUGUAGAGGCAGACGGAAUGCGUAGUGUAGCGGUGAAAUGCGUAGAGAUUAGGAGGAACACCGGUGGCGAAGGCAGUCUGCUGGACAGCAACUGACGCUGAGGCGCGAAAGCGUGGGGAGCAAACAGGAUUAGAUACCCGUGUAGUC
rnacentral:rRNA from 1 species